rnacentral:lncRNA from 1 species
CGUCCAGGAUGAUAGGUUUCAUAAUGUGUCAAAUCCUUCAGAACUUAUUUCCCAAGUCCAAAAGAUGGCACGCCUCCUAAUAUCACAACCACUAAGCUGCAAAAGAAAAAAAAACCCCACCAUGUUCUUUAUCUAUCAGCGAGGAAGUGGACACAAAUAGCCCAAGUAGUAUGAGAAAUGCCACAAAACAUUGAUCAUGUAUAAGAGUCAAUUAACAAGAUAUGAGGGAGAUCCUGUCCCUUCAACACAUAAAUGUUAGGACAACCAAGAAAAUGAGUUCACAGCCAAAAAAAAACCAAGAAAAUGAAUAAGGUAAUGUUUCAAUAGAACUUACAAUUCCAAAAGAAAUUAUUAUCCUCAACCCUGCUUGCCCAUAAAAUGUUUUACAUAAUAAUCAGUUAUAUAAUAAUCAUCAUCAGUUAUAUAAUAAAAUGCUUUACAAAAUAAUCAUCUUAUUUUCUAAACUUUAUAAUCUAAUAUCCUAUAAAUGAAGAAAGAUGAGCUUUUGAAAGAUAUUAUGGCAGAAAUAGUUACGAAGAAAAUAAUAAGGAAAAUACACUAUGUGGAAACUUUAAUACCUUUACAAAAUAUUUGAUGUAAACUAUGAUUUUCUCCCUUUUUUUGUAUUUGCAAGGAGCAAAAUUAAUUAGCUAGAAUGUCUAGUUAUAUCACUCUAUCUAUCAUGUAAAAUGAAGUCUCCCGUUUCUUCACCUUUACCAUAUCCUAGGAAAUUCAUUUAAAUAUUUUUUUGAUACAGUAACUGAAUAAUGCAUGGAGACUUAUAUCCCAAAUGCAUGCCACAUUGGUAAUAUACAGAAAUGUUCCACUUAGGUGUUAAAAAGGACAAAAUCCUGCAUUACUCAUGCAUCACAUGACUAGCAUGCAGCUGAGAUAAACUUAGAAAUGGGAAAAGAAAAAGAUACAACCAAAGGUUCACUUAAAGGAGAAAAAAGAGGCACUUGAAGAUACACUUAUUACAUGAGGGAACCAAAUUAAUUUCCUUGAUGAACCUUUUGAUAAAAAAGAAUUUCAAAUUUAAAUAAGAAAGUGUUGAAGAGAACCAGAUAAAGUAGAGAAACUAUCUAAUUCACAAAUCUACAUUAUACAUGUACAUAAAAAUAAAGGCACGUACCCUUAAAAACACAUGCAUAUAUAUAUAUAUAUAUAUAUAUAUAUAUAUAUAUAUAUAUUAUACUANNNNNNNNNNNNNNNNNNNNNNNNNNNNNNNNNNNNNNNNNNNNNNNNNNNNNNNNNNNNNNNNNNNNNNNNNNNNNAUAUAUAUAUAUAUAUAUAUAUAUAUAUAUAUAUAUAUAUAUUAUACCUAUAUUUGAGAAUAAAUUAUAUAGAUAGUCCUAGUGAGAACAUGGAAAAAUUAGGAAUGUUGGUUCCCACUUACAAUAAAAGUAAACUACAAAAACAAGAAAUUAAUUAGUAAGAAAACUGAACAAUGAAAAAAACAUCAUAAAAGAACUAAAAGAACAACUAGAAAAGUUGAAAUUGAUCAAAAGAUCAAAUAGAACUAAAUGGAAGAGAUAUCUAAGCAUGAUCUAGAUUCAAACCUAUUCCUCACCAAUGCUUAGUUGAAGGCUAAAGUCCAUUUUAAGAACGGAAGUUCUAAUCCAUAGUUAUAAUUAGUUCAUUUCAAAAUGCAACAAAACAGGAUUUCAAGUAUAAAAUCACGGAUGGAAACAUCAAUUUUGAUAUAGGAAAAGAUGAAAGGACCAAGAAGAGUAGAAAUUGAUUAAAUAGCUUAAGAAAUCAAUGAUGGAAGAGACAUCUAAAGGCGAUCUACAUUACACACGCACCUGUGAGCGUGCGUGCACGCGCGCGCACAGAGAGAGAGAGGGUCAUUCUUGACCAUCUCGUUGAUAUUGCAUGCAGAAAUAAGGUGACACCAAGAUCUCUAAUCAAAAACUCAUUUUAGAAGAAAGAACUACUAAUCGAAAGGCAAUAGGCUUCCAGAUGAAAUAGCAUUGAUGAAAACAUAAUUUUUCACAUAAAAGCACCCUGGAAAAAUGAAACAUCUAACGAAUACAAAAGCAUAACAAGCUAAGUGGGAAGACUAAAACGAGAACUAAAUGAGAUGACCAGAUGGCAAAAAGAGAAGCUGAAUCCGAUGAAAGAAUAAAAGAGAAAGUGAUGGAAGAGGUAAGUAUUGGUGGUCGUUACAAUCUAUGGCUAUCAGAGAAUUCCUGGGGGCUGAAUUAAGGGAAAGGCUUAUGAGAAUUGAGAGGUUGGGCUCUUUCCUUUAUGGAAGAAAUAAGAAAGUUUCAAGAGCGAUGACAAGUGUGGGAAGAAGACAGUGGGGGUCUGGCUUCUCUUUUUCAAAUGGAGAGGAGUGGGACAUUGGGCGCUUCGGGGGUGAGUUUGUUAGAUAUGUGCUUUGUCUCAAGGUUGCCCUUCAAACUUUAUGUUACAGGUUGUGCUGAUGAUUCAUGUGGGUGGAUAGCGGAAUGUGACGAUUGUCAUGUUUGCUCGUGUCCAGUUGAAACAAUUAAAGUACUUAAAAUUAAGCUUAUACUUCAAAUCACGUUCAAGCCAUAUUCAGAAAAUAAAAAUUCAAAAUUUCUAACAUGAAUUCAACACAUAAAUUACAUGGCUAACUCAAACCCAACUCAUAUAACCUCUUUAAAAACAGAUUCAUUUAUUAGCAAUGAAGGAGACUCAAGUAUCCAAAGUAAUGUAUUUUCUCAAAACUAUUUUUGUUUUAAAUUUAAAGGAAGCUCGAGAUGCUUUACUUCAGAAAGCAACACCCGAAGAAAAGAUGCAGAGUGGCUGCAAGGCGGCGGAGCACCGGCGGGACGCGGCAGCGAAUCAGCAUGUGGAGGAGCCAGUGGUGACUAGGGCGGAUCAGGGGAGUGGGAUUCGGCAACUACUGGGUGCGACGGAGAAUCCCCUGUGGUCGGUGGUAGCCCGGGCCCCCUCGAGCAGGCCGCGGUAGACUACCUUCGAGAGCUCCCAAGUUGAACUCUGGCAGAACCAGAGCGUCUUCACCGAGGUUUUGGAGCUUCCCCCGGAGAGGAUCGACAGAGCCCGAAGAGCUUGGUCGACGACAACCCUUCUUGCCUGAAGCCUCGGCCGCCCUAUUCCGAUCGAGAGGAUUCUGAAGGAAAUCCAAUAUAGGGUGAGGCUUGGCAAUGAGGUCAAAGGCUUCCCUCUGGCAGCGGGGCAUCUGGCCAUUUGCUUCAAGGAGGAGAGGGACAUGGUGCUCCAAAGUGGCCCAUGGUUGGUAGCGGGACAGCUACUGGCCAUGGAGAGGUGGCGCCCCGAUUUCGUGCCCGGUGUCCAGGAAGUGAUCAAGGUUGUGUCGUGGGUGUGAUUGCCGGCACUCCCGCUCGAGUUCUAGGAUAGGGAAUCAAUCCUCGACAUUGCCGGAGUGGUAGUGGAUGCAACAACAGAUGGCAGGUGGCGGCUAGAGUUUGCGAGGGUUAAGAUAGAGGUGGAUGCCUUGAAACCCUUACGGCCUGGGAUCUAUCUCCAGAGCAAAUCGGAGCCGAUCUGACAGGCUUUUACCUACAAAAAUCUGCCGGGGGUAUGCUACAGAUGUGGGUGUCUCGGCCAUGGAAGGGAGCCCUGCACUGCUCGGUCCUCGGCACCAGGUGGAGGGGGAGACUCAAAGGCGGGAGGACAAGGCAAUGGAGACAUCACCGAUCCCAGCCGAUGUUGGCCCCAAUCAACCUCUACGGCUGACAUAUGGACUGUGGCUGGUUACUAGCCAGAUGCGCAAGCCAAAACAGGUCGGAGCGGAGUAGUGGAGGAAGACUAUCGCCGAGUUGGGGAUAGAAAUAACUCGGGGUCCACUCGCCGACGUCCAAAACCCCGAGGAUCCGACACCCAACCUAGAGCCGUCCGAGGUUCCGAUAGAGUCCGAUGAGUGGAAGAGAAUGGCUAGGUGUGAUUGGGAGAAAGCAUCAGCGGUGGAUGAUCCUGAAGGCGACUCAGCCUUCCCUACCGAGGUGAGUGCUUUUGACCCAUUGAUUAACUUUGAGUUUGGCCGAGUCAACUCGGUGUGGAGCAACUUGGGCCAUAAGGGAACCAAAGGUGCCGAGCAGUAGAAGCCCAUUUGACCUUGGUCCACAAAGUGGCAGCAACCGAACUAGGGCCGUCCAAAUGGGCACGAAGCCCAUUGAAAGGCCAAGCUCUAAAGGGGCCUGCGGACCAGAACCGGGCGGACGGGCGGGGAUCCGAAUCUGGAUCAAAACUAGGUUGUCAGGGAACUGAAACUAACCGAGCCAUCCUUGGUGCUCGACUGCGAAGGUCAUCCACAUCCACUGAGCCAAACCUGAGGGCGCUCUCCAUCUCACGGCCGAUGAUGGUGGAGGGGUUGUGUCAGAGGAGGGGUUGGCAACGCAUAGGAGCAAGGACCCUUCAUCACACACCGGCAAGGCAGAAGGUGCGGCGAGGACAGGGGCAGUCUCUGGGAAGAGCUCGGAUCUGGCAGCAUCAACUAUCUCACAUGGUGAAGCAGAGAUUGGUGGCAGGGAGCACCAGGAGCAGCAAGAAGGGGAGGGAUUAGUCUUGGUGGCUGGGGCUGGUGUCUUGGCAGAGGAAGGGGGAGAAUAGGAGGCCUGGCAAGGAUCCCCAGGCAGGCCUGGUUGAUGGUGGGACAGUGUCAAGUGGUGUAGGGGAUUAAGGGGUGAUUGGUAUCGGGGUUGAGGGGUCGAACUCUACUGAGGUUUCCCACAUGCGUAUUGUUGCUAAGCUAAAAAAGGCAAUGCAGGGGUGGGACGGCUCACUACAUUCAUAUGGUGCCAAGCUAGGGGUGUGCAGAAGCACCCCUUCGGAUCCUUGAUAUGCAUAUUCUUGUUUGGAAUUGCCGGAGAGCGCGGAAACCGUCCUUUAGCCCGGCCUCCCGGAGGUUAGUUCACAUACAUGAUCCAACCAUUUGUGUUAUCCUUAAAACCACUCUCUGGUAGAAGCCUACAACAAGCUAGAAGAAGAAUUCCCAACUCAUGGGGAUUCUAUGCAAUUGAAUCUCGGGGAUUGUCAGGGGAAAUUAUUGUCACGUGGCAGUCGAACAUAUGCAAAAUUGAUGUGUUUAAUGAAUGUACUCAGAAUGUAGUGAUGGUCAUAUCGGAGGAAGAUGGGCAACCAUGGGUUUUUUGUGCCACUUAUGCUAAUACAGAUUUUUGUGAGAGAAGAAUUCUGUGGGAUGAGGUAAGGAGCCUGAUUCAUCAUGGGUACCCAACAUUAGUGGUUGGCGACUUUAACUGCAUUGACAGCCCACUGGAGAGGGGGGGCAAGCCAUUCACAAACAAAGUGGAGGUGAGGGAGUUUCAGAAUUUUAUUUUAGGAAGUGGAUUGGUGGAUCUGGGUUUCUCAGGACCGAGAUAUACAUGGUGCAACAACAGGUUGGGCCGUGCCAAGGUAUGGGAGCGGAUUGACCGGGUGUUUGCCACAGCGGGGUGGAUUCAGAGCUGGCCUAACUUCAGGGUUUUCCACUUGCCACGGAUUGCGUCAGAUCAUUGUCCGGUGCUGGUAAGCACCUCUCCCGUAGCUCAGACUCUCGGUCCAUUUAGAUUUAAGAAAUUUUGGCUUUCAUAUCCAAGAUCAUGGGAGGUGGUGAGGGAAGCCUGGCAGGUGCGAGGUAAUGCUAUAGAGAGGGUGUCACGUAGGCUUGAGAUGAUCAAGCGACGCCUGAGGAGAUGGAACAGGGUGGAGGUGGGGAACAUCUUCAGAAAGAUUGAAGGGUUGAAGUAGUGAUUGCAAGCAUUUAGGACAAAGAAGAGCAUAAUGGUGGUUUAUGUGAGGACGAGCAGAGGGACCUCCGGGCUCACCUGGCUAUGCACCAUUCAUUACUUCAGCAGUAGAAGACCUUCUGGAGUCACAGGUUCAGUGGAUUCUAGAGGGGGACCGCAAUACCAGAUUCUUCCACCAAUCCACUAUUAUCCUCCUGUAGAGGAACAGAAUUCACAGCAUCAGGAAGAGCAGUAGCUAGAUGAUGGAGGGUCCAAUCUCGGUUAGGAGGAUCUUGCAGGAGUUCUUCAGGGCUAGGUGGACUAAGCACACCAGUGGUGGAGGGUCGCCUACCCAGCCUGCCCCAGCCAAGAGGGUUACUGAGAAGGAGAAUGCUGAGCUUAUUAGGCCGGUAUCAGUAGCAGAGAUUCAGGAGAACCUUUGGUCCUUGGCUGAGGACAAGGCCCUGUGGCCGGACGAUUUUCUCCCUCUCUCUUUUCGAAGGUAUUGGCAUAUUGUUAGGAUGGAUGUGAUUGAGGCUAUCCUACUGUGUUUCAGCUCAGCUACCAUACCUAGUGAGUGAAAACGGACUUUCAUAACCUUGAUACUGAAAAAGCAGGAUGCCACAGAGCCCAUCCACUAUCGACCCAUUAGCCUCUGUACCACCCUCUACAAGAUCAUAGCCAAAAUUCUAGUGAGGAGGGUUAGGGGGGUACUAGAUAAGGUGGUGAGCCCUGUGGAGGGGGCAUUCAUUGGGGGCUGGUGUAUAUCCGACAAUGUAUUGAUAGCCCAGUAGUUUAUGAGUGAUUUUAGGCAGUUUUCAUGUAGGAUGGGCAUCAAGUUGGACAUGGAGAGAGCAUAUGACAUAAUGGAUUGGCACUUUGUGACACACUCCCUAGAGAUUCUUGGGUUUCACCAUUAGUGGAUUGAAUGGGUUAUGAGUUGCAUCUUAGCACCAUCCUAUGCCAUUCCGGUGAAUGGCAUGUCGACCAGUUUCUUCGAAUCCUCGGUGGGCCUGCGGCAGGGCUAUCCGGUGUCUCCAUUACUUUUCAUCCUUUUCUAGGAUGCUUUAUCCCGAGCCCUCCGUAGCGCCGCUGAGACUCGUGAGCUGGAGCCUUACACACCAAGGUCCGGUACCUUCCAAAUUUCUCAUUUAUUAUUUGCUGAUGACUACUUCUUGAUAGCUCGUGUGACUAGGAGGUCGACACGGACACUCCGGGGGAUAAUUACAGAGUACUGCAAUGCCUCCAAGCAGAGGGUAAAUUUGGCCAAAUCGACAAUAUCCUACAGUCCGAAGAUUGAAAUCCAGUUGAAAGGUACCAGUUCAAAGAUCUUGGGAAUUGAGGAGUGUGGUACCAUGCGGUACCUGGGGAUCCCCAUCACCGGUCGACGAUUGCGCGGGGCAGAUUGUUCCGAGGUGGAGUUGACCUUCCGACAGCGAUUGGAGGGGAAGCAGGCGAGUUCUUUCUCCAUGACGGGCAAGGUCAUUUUGGUUAGAUCAGUGCUGAGCUCUAUCCCCGUGUACAUGCUUUCAAACACCAUUGUCCCGAUUAUCUUUCUUAGGCAAUUGGAGCAACUAUUGUGGAGCAUUCAUCUACUUGCAUGGGAGGUCCUAUGUUAGCCGAAGAGCUCCGGGGGCUUGGGCAUUCACUCUCUCCUUACUAGGCGAGAGGCCUUGGCAUUGAGGCAUAUGGCUAGAUUCUGUUGGAGGCGGAUGGGUUAUGGAGUAGACUAAUGAGAGCAAAGUACGGGAUGGGAGACUCAUUUCCACCAGGGCGUUAGUGCUCUUAUAUUUGGUGGGAUAUGUGUGUACAAGCCCCACAGAUACUCCCCUGCAUCUACUGAGCGGUGGGGGAUGGCUGCAGUAUUAAUGUUGUUGAGGAUAAAUGGAUGGCUGAGCUGCCGCUAUCCAGAUGGCCCACGAUGUUUGACCCUAUUGCGACGGCUGGGAGCAGAGUGUGCGAUCUUUUUGCUCAGGAUGAGAGCAGAUGGGAUGCUGCUCAAGUCCACCUCCUCUUCGGCGACGACCUUGCAUAGAGGAUUUUGGCCACACCUCUACCUCUCGAGGGGAUGGCAGAUAGGAGGGUAUGGAGUUGGACUAGGAGGGUUAGGGUCGCAGUCAGUGAUCUCCAGAUGAUAGUGGACCCAGGGUCUGUUUGUCGGAUGGCAGGGCGUUGGAUUUGGCAGCUACGUGUCCAUCCACGUGUGGCUAUGUUUUUGUGGAGGGUGGCAUGGGGCAUCCUACCUACCAAAGGGAUCUUAGUUAGGAGGGCAGUCCGGAUACCAGCAGAUUGUGAGGGAAGCUUGGGGGAGGAGGAGACCAUCAGCCACGCCCUGUUUACAUGUCCGUGGGCACUUCAGGUUUGGAGCCUUGCCCUGGCUCAUCAGUAGUUCUUUACAUCUACGGAGAUAUUUUUGAGUCAGUUGAGGGACUCAGCUCGAAGACCAGGGAUGGCAGAGGGGAGCUGUUUGGCAUAUGUGACAUACCAUAUUUAGCUAGAUAGGAAUAUGCGGAUCUUCGAGGGUAGAGGAUUCUACCCACGAUCAGUGGUCGAUAGAGCUUUUGCACAGGCAACCGAGCUGGUGAGCGUUGCUGCAGAGAUAUCACCUAGAGAUGAUAGGGACAUCUGGGGUUCUUCUUUGGCUCUUGCAGCAUCCAGGUAUGUGAUGGUAUCGAUGGUAUUCUGGGAGCCCCCACCCUCUGAUUUCUUUAAGAUAAACUUCGAUGGCAGUGUAUCAGAAGGCAGCAGUAGAUGUGGCGUGUGUUUUGUGAUCAGAGACUAGGACUCCAGAAUGAUUGCAGCUGAGGGCCGGCGUACAUUUGAUGGUUCCAUUCUCAUGUCAGAGUUGCGUGCGACAUGGAAGGGCCUCGUCUAUGCUAGAGUGCACUUGGGUGCUAGGCGGGCGUUCCUGGAGGGCGACUCGGCUACAGUGAUCGGUUGGAUCCGGAGCCGGCAGACCAGGUCUAAGCGGCACCCACUACUCCGAGAUAUUUGGCGGCUCGUGGAGGAGUUAGAGUUAUUUCGGGCUUCGCAUGUGUUUUAGGAGGCAAAUAGUUCAGCGGACUGGGCCGCCUCUUUUGUAGCCCACUACUUUGGGGGUGUCUUUUGGAGUAGUUCCGAUUGUGUGCCGCUGGCAUUAGAUCGUGUUUUGUACUAUGACUGUUCUGGGCCAUCUCACGGCUGAUUGUACUAAGAGGCUGACUUACCAAAAAAAAAUCUAUUUUUUCCUCAAAAAUUAUCCCAACUAAUAUCAAAAGUCCAUAAACAGGUAAAGAGAUGAUCACCCCCCCCUCACAGGGAGAGAGAGGAAGAGAGAGAGAUGGAGAUCAGUAUCAUUAGUAUUGAAGUAGUUACUAGGUUUGAAUCCUGAACUCGCCCAAUUUUGGCUUGACUUGUUUUCAUUCUAGCUCAAAAGGAAAAAAAGAAAAAGAAAAGUGGUUCUUGUUUGGAAGGUCAUCCAUCAUAGGUUAGGAAUUUAUGCAUGACAAGAAGAUGAUGAGUAUUGAUCCACGAAAAGAGAUACGAGAAAUGCAAAAGAAAUCAACUACUGAUUAUGGGCAAACCUAUGGAAAUAUAUUGGUUUCUUACUCUCGGAACAAAAGAAAAAAAAGGGUUUUCUUACUCAUGCAAAGGAUGGGUUUUCAAUUCUAAGGGAACUAGCAAGUUCAAACGAUACUUUGAAGCUCAAAUCUCUGUCCGGCUAAGCAAGAUUCUAACCCUUUGGUAAAGAAAAAGUUUACAAAUUAGUCAUCUUAAUCUCCAUAACAUAAUAUCUACUUAAAAGAAGCAACAUGAGCUUUGAAGAUAUUCUAACAAGAAUAUAUAAGGAAAGGAUAUAAGGAAAAAUACAUUAUGAAAUCAAAAUAUAAAAAAUAUAGUUUUAAUACCUUAACCAACCCUUCACGAGCAUAAUGGACAGACUAUCUCCUCCCUCCAAGACCAAGUAAUUUGGAAAACAAACUCUCUUUUUUAUCAAAUCUGUCAAAGCACAAAAAUUGAUCAGGUAGAAUGUCAAAAUCUGUGUUUGAUCUUAUAUAAUGAUAAUUUUUCUUUAAAAAACAGAUCUAUUUUUUUUAAAUGGAGAAAUUACUGUCUAUCAUUCUAAAACUUCAAAUCUCUAGACCUCUCUCAUUCCUCAGUUUACAGAAGUUUUCAUGAAUAAUUAGAUGAUGACCCACUUCUUUCUCCACCUUUGCCCAGUCAUAAGAAAUUCAUCCAAAUUUUUCAUCUUUCAUGAUCAAAUUCAUUGCAUCAAAAUGCAACUAGGAUACAUGUAACAACCCAGGACCUNNNNNNNNNNNNNNNNNNNNNNNNNNNNNNNNNNNNNNNNNNNNNNNNNNNNNNNNNNNNNNNNNNNNNNNNNNNNNNNNNNNNNNNNNNNNNNNNNNNNNNNNNNNNNNNNNNNNNNNNNNNNNNNNNNNNNNNNNNNNNNNNNNNNNNNNNNNNNNNNNNNNNNNNNNNNNNNNNNNNNNNNNNNNNNNNNNNNNNNNNNNNNNNNNNNNNNNNNNNNNNNNNNNNNNNNNNNNNNNNNNNNNNNNNNNNNNNNNNNNNNNNNNNNNNNNNNNNNNNNNNNNNNNNNNNNNNNNNNNNNNNNNNNNNNNNNNNNNNNNNNNNNNNNNNNNNNNNNNNNNNNNNNNNNNNNNNNNNNNNNNNNNNNNNNNNNNNNNNNNNNNNNNNNNNNNNNNNNNNNNNNNNNNNNNNNNNNNNNNNNAAAAAGAAGAAGAUAUACUUGUACGAUUCAGUCAAAAAAUAGAAAUAAGAAAUACCCUUGAAGAAACACUUAUUUAUUAUCAAGAAUCCAAAACAAUUUUUCUAAUGUACCAGUUAAAAUCAUAGGUGGCAAUCGGAUUGGUUCGGACAAGAUACAGGUUGGGUCUGACAAGAUACAAGUUAGAUACAGGAUAGAUCAAAAUUCUGUCAAUCCGAACCUAACCUAUUUAUUAAACAAGUCAAAAAUUCAGAUCCGAACCUGAACAUUUUAUUAAAUAGGUAAUCUAACCCAAAGUACAACAAGUUGAAAUAAGUUAAAUAGGUUAAACGGUUAAGCAUUGCCACCUUUAGUUAAAAUAAAAGAAAUAUCAUUUGAAAAAGAAAGGAUUGAAGAGAACCAUAUUAAGGAAUUGGAAAUGAGAUCACAAAAGAAGUAUAGGUAUGCAUGCGCAUACGCACGCAACACACACACAUAUAUGCAUGUAUAUAUGUAUGUAUUAUGUAUGCAUUUAUGUUUCUAUGACUUUAUAUAUGUACGCAGAUACAAACAUGUAUACAUGUAUUUAUACUUGCAUGUAUGUGUAUAUAUGUGUGUGUGUAUACACAUAUGCACACACAUACAUAUAUGCAUGCAUGCAUACAUCCAUAUAUUCAUGCAUGCAUGCAUGCAUACAUACAUACAUACAUACAUACAUAUAUAUAUAUGUAUGUAUGUAUGUAUGUAUGUAUGUAUGAGUGUAUGUAUGUGUAUAUAUGUAUGUAUGUAUGUAUGUAUAUGUAUAUGUGUUGAUGUGCCAAAGUAGUCUAUUUUUAGAAAGAUCAAGUUUAUAAAUUUUUAACUAGGACUAACUCUAAAUAUUGUAAAAUCUUGAUAUGAAGAGGUAGAGGACAAUUUUGAAACAAGUAUUUUUUGCCUAUAUUUAAGAAUGACUAUAUAUAGGAAUAGUAAAAACUUGGAGAAAUUAAGCAUAUCCAUUAUCAUAAAAAAAAAAAUCAAAUAAUGUCAGUAAAGAAAACAAUAAAAAUAAUUCUUCUCAAAAUGUAAUCAAAAAAUUAAUAAAAAAGAGGAUGCCGACUAGUUGAGUUGGUAAAGUCUUUGGAUGCUGGAUAGCACCAUUCUAGAUUCGAUCUCAUCCUAUUGGUUGCUUCUUGUUUUAGUCCCUCGAAGAAACUCAUUCUACAAAAUCAGAAGAAAGCACAAAGCAUGGAUAUUCUUGACUUGAACAUGAAAUAAUAAUAGAAGGAGCCAAAAUUCAUCAAACAAACAAAGAGAACUGCAAAGAGAUUCUUCUACAUUCUGUGCCCUAGGUUCGAUCUUGUCUCCUCUCUGAUUUUGUUGGCUGUUUCUUGUCUCAAUCCCCAGAAAAAGAAAAAAAAACUCAUUAAAAAACGACAGAAAGCAUUAAUCUAUGAAUUUACUUGAUUAGAGCACCAAAUAACAACAAGAUUAGCUGAAAUUCACAAAAGUAAAAAAGAAAACUGCAAUGAAAUUGAUUCUACACGCGUUUUGGGUGCAAAAAAUCACUCCUUAUCAUCUCACAGUUCUUGCAGGCUAAAGGAGAACACCAAAAUUCAUAAUAAAGAUCCAUGUUAAAGAAAUGAAUUCUAUUUAAUUCAUCUGAAAAGACAAAAAAGCCAGCUUUCAAAUACAAUAUCAUUGAUAGAUACAACAUCUUUCACUCAAAAGAUGGGUUAAAAAUGAAACAGCUCAUUGACAUCCAUUAGAAAAAUGAAAGAACCAAAAAGAGCAGAAAUGAAUGAAAAAUCCGAGAAAUCAACAAUGGAAGAGGCAGUUAAAGGCAAUCUGCAUUUAAUUAAAAAAAAUAAAAGAGGUAAUUAUUGACUAUCUCAAAAAAAAGGGAACACAAGAUUUUUAAUCAAAAUCUCACUUUAAAAGAAGGGACUUCCAAUCAAUCCACCAAAAAUCACACAUAAACCACCUUCUAGAUGCAUAACCAUAAAUUAAAAAUUCUGAAAAUGAGCAAUGGAAGAGGCAUAUAGAUGUGAUCUGUAUUUAAUUGAAAAAAUAAAAAUGGGUCAUAAUUAUGGACCGUCUCAGAGCCCCUGCAUGCAGAAGUAAGGGAACAUAAGAUUUUUAAUCAAAUCUCACCUUAGAAGAAGGGGCUUCCAAUCAAUCCACCAAAAAUCACAAAUAAACCGGCUUCUAGAUGCAUUACCCUCAAUUAAAACAUCAUCUUUCUACGAAAAAGAAACGUUUACAGACAAUCUACGCACAAAGCGUCAUGAAAACCAAACUGUUUUCUUGAUCCAAGAAACAAAUAGAAUCAAACAACAAUGAAAAUAGCUCAAACAUAUGAAAGAAUCGAAGAAAACUGUGAUGGAAGAGAAAGAUGUAGGCGCUGAUUACCGUCUAUGGAUGAGGAUUGGAGAUCAGCUCAUGAGGGCUGAAAUUGGGGCAGGUGAAAGGCUUGUGAAAUUUGAGAGAUUGAUUUCUUGUAGAAAGAAACAGAAAAAGUUAUCAGAAGAAUGCGACGAGUGUGAGAAAAGGACACAGCGAGAGAGCUGGCUUCGCUUCUUCAAAUGGAG